AGAUGCCAGAGAUGAGGGAUUCAGUCCUGUCAGGCACUGAGACUGUGGCUUCCCAGAUCCGCUCUGGCAGUGUCAUUGUCUUCCCACAGUAUGAACUCCAGAUUGUGCAGCCUGCCAUCAAAGGACCCGCAGAGCUCACCGAAGAACAGGAGGAGGAGAAGGAUGAUAAUGGCAACAAAAAAGGGGCUCUUCCUGACAAUCGCCUUCUCUCCAGAGAGAGGCAUGCUCCACCCAAAAAGACUUCUAUCCAUAAGGAGGAAGACAAGAUGCACAAAACCAGGGGAAAAGGGCUUCCUGACAGUCCACCACCACCAAUCCAGUGGAGCUCAGUGAAGAAAGUGGAAGCCAAAAAGAAAGAAAUCCCUCGUGCUGGACCAAAACUUGUAAACUUUAUUGCUGAAGCUAUUAAGACAAAAGAGCAGAGAAGAAUCCUCCAGGUUAAGAAACGACACCAAAGAGGUCUCUGUGAACUUCAAGCUGUAGAAAGACAGGAGAAGAAAGAAUGGCAGAAGAAAGAGAAAGACAGAAGGAAAGAAAAGGAAAAAUUGGCACCACCAAUCCCUGGGAGAGGAAAGGAUAAUCUACAGAGGGCCACGAAACCCACUGUUUCUUGGGGCACCACGCAAAUCCCUUCUGCCAGCAUGAGGAGGAAGGUGACCAGCCCAGAUCUCAUAGAGGGAAUGAUGGGGAACUGGAAAGAGGAUGGCGAAUCAUCCUCAGAGAAGGAGGGUGACAACUCACUGGAGAUACCCCCAAAAAGGCCAAUUUCCCCAGGGACAAGCCAGGCCCUGCUCGAGAUAGUGACGUGCAUCCUGGGACAGGUUGACCGAAGUCGGAGGGGACACAGGCAUGAAGAGAGGGAUCGGGAAGAUAAGCUGCAGUGUGAGCUGGCUGUUUUGAAGUGGAGAAUGUGCAGGAAAAAGAAGAGCCAAGGCAAUGACACUCCUGUGGCUGGACCCCAACCUGCACAAACUAUUUGUGACAGUCCUGAGAGAGCAGGACAGGAAUUCUACUCUCUCCCUGUGAGGAAAGAUCAAAGUAAACACUGGGAAGCCUUACGUAAGAAGUACCUGAAGACAGCAAGGACAAGGUCGCCUUCAUCAACAGCAAGAAGGGAAAGGGAACAUGUGUGGAAGGCCCAGAAACCCACUGUUUCUUGGGGCACCACGCAAAUCCCUUCUGCCAGCAUGAGGAGGAAGGUGACCAGCCCAGAUCUCAUAGAGGGAAUGAUGGGGAACUGGAAAGAGGAUGGCGAAUCAUCCUCAGAGAAGGAGGGUGACAACUCACUGGAGAUACCCCCAAAAAGCAGCACCUAGAGGGACUUCUCCUGGCACCUCCCGUGGGAGGGACAGCAGCACACUUCUGAGUCUGUGGCCUUGGUCAGACAGUCCUUAACUGAAGGGGAAGUUGCUGAUGACUCAGAAUAAGAUUUCCGCUUUGGACAUAGGUGGCUGAAGACAUAAGGAUUUGCCCAACGUUCGGCUCUCCAUUUUCAGACUGGCAAGCCUGUCCUACCCUCUCAGAGUACAGACACCAAGACCCUUUGCCCUGGGGGUUGAUACCUAUUCACUCCAUCGCAGGGCUAGAGAGCCAGUCCAGCACAAUGUGAACCAGCAACUGCCAGCUGUGCUGCCAAAGCG